UGGGGAAUAUUGGACAAUGGGCGAAAGCCUGAUCCAGCCAUGCCGCGUGUGUGAAGAAGGUCUUCGGAUUGUAAAGCACUUUAAGUUGGGAGGAAGGGCAUUAACCUAAUACGUUAGUGUUUUGACGUUACCGACAGAAUAAGCACCGGCUAACUCUGUGCCAGCAGCCGCGGUAAUACAGAGGGUGCAAGCGUUAAUCGGAAUUACUGGGCGUAAAGCGCGCGUAGGUGGUUUGUUAAGUUGGAUGUGAAAUCCCCGGGCUCAACCUGGGAACUGCAUUCAAAACUGACUGACUAGAGUAUGGUAGAGGGUGGUGGAAUUUCCUGUGUAGCGGUGAAAUGCGUAGAUAUAGGAAGGAACACCAGUGGCGAAGGCGACCACCUGGACUAAUACUGACACUGCGGUGCGAAAGCGUGGGGAGCAAACA
rnacentral:rRNA from 1 species